GAAAUGCGAUAAGUAAUGCGAAUUGCAGAAUCCGUGAGUCAUCGAAUCUUUGAACGCAUAUUGCGCCCUUUGGUAUUCCGAAGGGCAUGCCUGUUCGAGCGUCAUUAUCACCCCUCAAGCCUGGCUUGCUGUUGGACUUUAGGUCUUGCUUUAGCUAUGACCGGUCCCAAAGAUAAUGACGGCGUCUGUGAGGACCCCAGUACACUGAGCUUUAUUGCACGUACUUGGUGGGAGUCUAGGCCCGGUCUUACUUAUUAUUUUACUAAGAUUGACCUCGGAUCAGGUAGGAAUACCCGCUGAACUUAA
rnacentral:misc_RNA from 1 species